rnacentral:rRNA from 1 species
AUUGAACGCUGGCGGCAGGCCUAACACAUGCAAGUCGAACGAGUGGCGGACGGGUGAGUAAUGUCUGGGAAACUGCCUGAUGGAGGGGGAUAACUACUGGAAACGGUAGCUAAUACCGCAUACCAUCGGAUGUGCCCAGAUGGGCUUAGCUAGUAGGUGGGGUAAAGGCUCACCUAGGCGACGAUCCCUAGCUGGUCUGAGAGGAUGACCGGCCACACGGGAACGGAGACACGGUCCAGAUCCCAACGGGCGGCAGCAGGGGGAAAUGUGGCACAAUGGGCGCAAGGCGGAUGCAGCCAGGCCGGGUGUAUGAAGAGGGCCUUCGGGUUGUAAAUUACUUUCAGCGGGGAGGCGUUACCCGCAGAAGAAGCACCGGCUAACUCCGGGCCAGCAGCCGCGGUAAUU